GUGAAUCAUCGAAUUUUUGAACGCAAAUUGCACUCUCUUCUGAGAGUAUGCCUGUUUGAGGGUCAGCCUAAGAAAAAAUCUACAUAUUCUCUUUUUCGCGGUUACAUUCGGCGUUGAUUGUGUCAGCUUUAACCUUUGGGUUUUAAGCGUCUUAAAAUUUUCUUUACUAUUCCACGAACGUUUCUAAGAUUUACUUUUUACUCUGUUAAUGUAAUCUAUCUUUGUUAGACAUGUCCGUUCCAUC
rnacentral:misc_RNA from 1 species